rfam:Erysipelothrix rhusiopathiae str. Fujisawa DNA, complete genome.
GGAACCUUUAAAAUUGUCCAGAGAGGCAAGCAAGGAAAGAGAAACAACCACUUCAUCAAAUGAUGAGCCUCUUUUCGUGCGCGAGAAGGGGCUCUUUUCU